AAUCAUGUCUGUUGCUCUGGCUGAACCAGGGCCGACUUCACCAUAGUUGUAGCAUGGAUAGUUAUCAUACUAGACUCAUUGCUUUGCAGGCUGCCCAAAAUCCAUGAUACAGGAAUGUAUCAAGGCUGAUCCUGAUUGAUAUCAGUCAUGUAGUCUCGCCGGGCCAUCAGUCAUGAUUCAAAGUAAAAUUCUUGGCUGUGUAUUUUAACCCUCAAAUUUUCAAUAUGGCGGCAUUGAAACAGACAGAUCUUGAUGGACUUUUCAUCUACAGGGAACAGAGAAAGUUGAUGAUGAAAAUGAUGGAGUUACCAAUGACAGCAAAAUAACAGAUGAGUUUAAUUUGGUAAGACAGUCUGAUCAAUCUCAACUACUAGUACCAUUCCUUCAUGAUCCUAAGACUAAUAAUAAUUUUGUACCAAAGUGUAUGCCUCUCCAGUAUCAAGGACUGAUCUAUCUCUCUCUCUUCAGUUUGUGGAUCAAGUAUUGAGGAAACAAUCUAGUACUAUGGGGCGUGUCUGUCAGUGGAGCUAACUCGUUACACAAUGAGUCUAGUCUGUCUCGUUCUGUUAGUUACUUACUGACUCAAAACAUACCA